GACGAACGCUGGCGGCGUGCUUAACACAUGCAAGUCGAACGGUAAGGCCCUUCGGGGUAUACGAGUGGCGAACGGGUGAGUAACACGUGGGUGAUCUGCCCUGCACUUCGGGAUAAGCCUGGGAAACUGGGUCUAAUACCGGAUAGGACCACUGCCUGCAUGGGUGGUGGUGGAAAGCUUUUGCGGUGUGGGAUGGGCCCGCGGCCUAUGAGCUUGUUGGUGGGGGGUUGGCCUACCAAGGCGACGACGGGUAGCCGGCCUGGGAGGGUAACCGGCCACACUGGGACUGAGAUACGGCCCAGACUCCUACGGGGGGCAGGAGUGGGGAAUAUUGCACAAUGGGCGCAAGCCUGAUGCAGCGACGCCGCAUGAGGGAUGACGGCCUUCGGGUUGUAAACCUCUUUCAGCACCGACGAAGCGCAAGUGACGGUAGGUGCAGAAGAAGGACCGGCCAACUACGUGCCAGCCGCCGCAGUAA
rnacentral:rRNA from 1 species